UCUGGUUACUCAUUAACAUUAUUCUGUCAGAAUGAUUUGGGUGAGUUUAAAUACCUCAUAGUGAGGGAUUUAAGAAAAAAAAAAAAAACUGGAUCAAUUUUGACAGAACUGGGUUAGAGGAGGCUAUGCACGCAGUGACGCCAGCAGAUGGGAAGGUGCAGCCAUCUCGCCCAGGAUGGGUGGUUCUCCUACAGCAAAGCUGCAAGCUGCUACAUGUCCCUUUUAACUGUGGGUACAGAGGAAUUUACAAUACUGGAGAAGCAGUUGCAGUCUUUCAAAAUAUGGAAAUUUGAAUCACUGUAGCCUGUGAACUACUCUACAUUUUGUGACACAAGAAAGAACCAAUAAACUGCAUCCUCUGUGCAAACCAGGCUCAGGAACAACAGCAUUUGAUGCUUGGAAGGUGCUGUUGGACUUUUUGAAUUAUCUGAGGAAGGAAGCUGGUUAGAAACCAGUGGCUCUCGCUCCAUCCUUCCCACAAAUAUUACGAUGUUACUCCAGUGUCCCAGGAUGAAUAAUAUCAAAUAAAUAAACCUCCUAGACUUUAAGAUGCUUUUGCGGGAGGACGGAUGUUGGAGUGCCUUUUAAGCAACGUGAAGCUGGCUUUAAGUGUUAGCUCCAAAUAGGAGCAAAGGCUCGCAGCACUCAAAGCUGCAAUGCCAAUGUAUCUUCAUGGUAAGUAAUACCUAUCGAGGGGAUGCCAAAGCAGGGGUGUGUGCAGAGUUAGAUACUGAAACAAGUUAAUACUGAUAGUCAAUAUCAGUAGACUCUGAUAAUCAACAGAGAUACCGUGGGGCUGGGUGAACACAAGAAUGGCUGUGCUGGGUCAGGACAAGGAUUCACCCAGCCCAGCAGCUGUCUACGAUACUUAUCUGACAGGCAGGCAUUCUGAUCAUGAGGGUGGUUUUCAAGAGCGAGCCUCAUAACUAGCAUGCCAGGUAGGC